GCGACCCCAGGACGGGCGAGGCCACCCGCCGAGUUUAAGCAUAUCAAUAAGCGGAGG
rnacentral:rRNA from 2 species